GAGACGACUUUGACUUGACUUGUAAUAAUCACAUAAAACAAGCAGGAAAUUUCUGUACAUAUUCAGAUGAUUUUGCUAUUUAUAUUCAAUACUGUUUCAGUUUCUUGUUUUGCAAUUUCAGAUUCAUCACUCACUUUGACCUAAAUGUCUACUACUAAUCCAAAGAGGAAGAAGCACAACGUGUACUUGAGUUUCUGCAACCAAGACACUGCUUCUUUCGCUAAGCGUAUCUACAAGGCUCUUACUAGAAAAUCUCUAUUUAACGUUUUCUGGUACGACGAGAAGCUUCAAAGCCGUGACCGAGAAAUACCCACCUCUAUGCUCAAUGUUAUAGGAGAUUGCAAAGUUGCUAUAAUCGUGUUUUCCAGAAAUUAUGUUAAUUCAAGACCUUGUCUUCAAGAAUUCGAGAAAAUAACCCAAUGUUGCCUAAACACAACUGGUCUUAUUGUUCUUCCUUUGCUCUAUGAUGGUUACAAUGACUAUUCCUCGCUUGGAAUUGGCGGGGAGGCUUUUCAUGAUCUUGUCUGUAGAAUUUGGGUAAAGGAAACCUCAUCUGAAGAAGAAGACAAGUUCAUGAGUUGGGUGGCAACUAUCACUAAAACUACUACAUAUUCAGGAGUCAUUGAUUUUGCAGACAGCUAUGGAAGGGAAUAUAUUGGGGAUAUAGUUGAAAGUGUUAUUCGUGUGAUAAACAAGACGAGUGACUUGUUGGAUGCUUUCUAUACGGUGAGUUUGAAAUCCAGAGUGCAAGAUGUGAUUCAACUAUUGAAACAAUCAAGAUAUCCUAUCCUACUAGGGAUAUGGGGAAUGGCCGGGAUUGGUAAAUCAACUAUUGCUGAAGCUAUUUAUAAUCGGAUUGGUCCUUAUUUUGAGUACAAGUUCUUGCUCGAUAACGUCAGGGAAGUUUGGAAAACAGAUGGAGGUGUAGUUUCUUUACAAGAGAAACUUCUUUCUUAUAGGGGCAAACCAACUGAAAUAAAGAUAGGUACGACUGAAUCAGGAAAAGUUGUUUUAAAAGAAAUACUUCAUAAUAAAAGGGUACUUCUUGUACUUGACAAUGUUGAUAAAUUGGAGCAGCUAAAGUCUUUGUGCGGAAAUCGGGAUUGGUUUGGUCCAGGUAGCAAAAUAAUCAUCACAACCAGAGAUAGGAAUCUACUCAAGGAGCAUGGAGUAGACCAUAUAUAUAGAGUGAAAGAAUUGGAAGAAAGUGAAUCAAUUGAGCUUUUUAAUUGGCAUGCAUUCAGCCAAGUAACAACUCCUCAAGACAGUUUUGGUGAACUUUCUAGACAAUUAGUUGCGUAUUCUAGGGGAUUGCCUCUUGCUCUUAAAGCCCUUGGGGGGUUUUUACAUGGAAAGGAAGUACUUGAGUGGAAAGGUGUGUUGAGGAGUCUCGAAAGAUUUUCCUUUCCAGAUCAAGAAGUACUACAUGCUCUAGAAACGAGUUUUGAUGAUUUGAGCGAUGAAGAGAAACAAAUAUUCCUUGAUAUAGCAUGUUUCUUUAACAGGAUGGACCAAAAUGAUGUACUUCAUACAUUGAAUAGGUCAACACAAUGCACUAAUCUUCAAAUAAGUCUUCUUGAAGACAAGAGCCUUUUAACCAUUGUUGAGAAUAACAAGCUUGAAAUGCAUGUUUUGCUACAGGCCAUGGCAAGAGAUAUCAUUAAGAGGGAAUCAAGUAAUAAGACUGAUCAGCCAAAGAUGUACGAUGUGUUCUUGAGUUUUAGAGGGGAAGACAGCCGUGCAAAGUUCAUGUCACACCUCUAUUCCUCUCUUCAAAAUGCGGGAAUUCAUGCUUUCAGAGACAAUGAUGAGAUUCCACGAGGAGAUCACAUCUCAAUCUCACUGUUGCGAGCAAUCGGACAAUCUAGAAUUUCCAUCAUUAUUUUGUCUUCAAAUUAUGCUAAUUCCCGAUGGUGUAUGCUAGAGUUGGUUAAGAUAAUGGAAAUUGGUAGAACGAGGGGUAUGGUGGUUAUGCCUGUGUUCUAUGACGUAGAUCCCUCAGAAGUACGCCAUCAGACAGGUCAAUUUGGAGAAGUUUUUGAAGAUCUUAUCAAAACAAUCUCAGUGGAUGAAUCCACAAAGAGUAAUUGGAGAAGAGACCUCAUUGAUAUUGGUGGCAUAGCAGGGUUUGUACUCAGAGAUUCCAGGAAUGAGAGUGCAGAUAUCAAGAAUAUUGUCGAACAUGUCACCCGUUUGCUACAUAGGACAGAGUUAUUUGUUGCUGAACAUCCAGUGGGUGUAGAAUCUCGUGUGGAAGCUGCGACUAAGCUACUAAAUCUCCAAAAAUCAGAUGUUUUACUUCUAGGGAUAUGGGGAAUGGGGGGUGUUGGUAAGACAACCAUUGCCAAAUCCAUUUAUAAUCAAAUUGGGAGCAAAUUUGAAGGAAGGAGCUUCCUUCUAAAUAUAAGAGAAUUUUGGGAGACAAAUAUUAAUUUAGUUUCUCUACAGCAACAGGUACUUUGUGAUGUUUACAAAACUACGACGUUCAAGAUACAUGACAUAGAAUCAGGGAAAAAUAUAUUGAAGGAAAGACUUGCUCAAAAUAGGGUACUUGUUGUGCUUGAUGAUGUGAAUGAAUUGGACCAACUAAAGGCUUUGUGUGGAAGCCGCGAAUGGUUUGGCCCGGGGAGUAGAAUAAUCAUCACAACAAGAGACAUGCAUCUUCUUAGAUCGUGUAGAGUUGAUCAAGUGUAUACUGUAGAAGAAAUGGGGGAAAGUGAAUCUCUUGAGCUUUUCAGUUGGCAUGCAUUCAAGCAACCUAGUCCGACAAAAGCUUUUGCUACACAUUCGGAAGAUGUGAUUGCUUAUUCCGGAAGAUUGCCACUAGCACUUCAAGUCCUUGGGUCCUAUUUAUCUGACUGUGAAGUAACAGAGUGGCACAAAGCUUUGGACAAACUCAAAUGUAUACCCCAUGAUCAAGUACAUAAGAAGCUAAAAGUAAGCUUCGAUGGUUUAAAAGAUGUUACAGAAAAACAAAUAUUCCUUGAUAUAGCUUGUUUUUUUAUUGGGAUGGACAAAAAUGAUGUAAUACAAAUAUUAAAUGGGUGUGGUUUUUUUGGUGAGAUUGGAAUUAAAGUCCUUGUAGAGCGGGCUCUGGUAACUAUUGACAAUAGAAACAAGCUUAGAAUGCAUUAUUUGUUGAGAGACAUGGGAAGACAAAUAAUUUAUGAGGAGUCGCCAUUUGAUCCUGAGAAGCGCAGUAGGUUGUGGCGCCCUGAGGAAGUGUUUGAUUUAUUAUCAAAGCAUAAGGGAACCGAAGCUGUCAAGGGACUGGCUUUGGAGUUUCCAAGAAAAAAUACAGUUUGUCUGAGUACCAAAGCAUUUAAGAAGAUGAAUAAACUUAGAUUGCUUCAACUUGUUGGGGUGCAGCUUGAUGGAGAUUUUAAAUAUCUUUCAGGGGAUCUUAGAUGGCUGCACUGGCGUGGGUUUCCAUCAACUUACACUCCUGCAGAAUUGCAGCAAGGAAGUCUAGUUUCCAUUGAAUUAAAAUACAGUCAUCUCAAACAAAUAUGGAAGGAGAGUCGGGUGCUUGAGAAUCUAAAAAUUCUUAAUCUUAGUCAUUCUCGGGAUUUGACUGAAACUCCAUACUUUUCGUUCUUACCUAAUCUUGAAAAGCUAGUACUCAAAAACUGUCCAAGUUUGUCUUCGGUCUCCCAUAGCAUUGGAUCUCUCCAUAAACUUGUUCUAAUAAAUUUGACAGACUGCACAAGUCUUCAGAAUCUUCCGAUAAGCAUUUAUAAAUUAAAAUCUUUAGAAUCUUUGAUUCUCUCUGGAUGUUCCAUGAUCAACAAAUUGGAGGAGGACUUGGAACAGAUGGAGUCGUUGACAACCUUGAUUGCGGAUAAGACUGCUAUAACAAAAGUGCCCUAUUCAAUAGUAAGAUUAAAAAACAUUGGAUAUAUUUCUAUUUGUGGCUUUGAAGGAUUUUCACGUGAUGUAUUUCCUUCUCUCAUUCGGUCUUGGCUCUCACCAUCAAGUAAUGUGAUUUCCCUAGUUCAGACAUCUACAUCAAUGUCAUCUCUUGGUGCUUUCAAGGACCUUCUAAAGCUUCGAAUUCUUUGUGUGGAAUGUGGCUCAAAACUUCAACUAACUCAAGAUGUAGCAAGAAUUUUGGAUGCAUUAAAAGCCACAUUUUUUCAUAAAUUUGAAGCAAAUGCAAGGGAAACUACAUCACAAAUCUCUGAUAUACAUGCUUCUCCUUUAAUUGACGACUGCCUUGGUCAAGUUCACAUUUCAGGGUCCAAUAAUUACUUGAAAUCUCUCUUAAUUCAAAUGGGAACAAAAUGCCAAGUCUCUAAUAUUAUCGAAUACAAUAUUUUUCAGACUGCAGAUGCGUUUUGGGAUUCAUUUGUGCUCCCCUGUGACAAUAAUUCAGAUUGGUUAACUUUCCGUUGCAAAGGUCGUGGCAUAGUGUUUGAUCUCCCAACAAUGAAGGGGCAUAACCUGAAGAGUAUGUUCCUGUUCGUAGUCUAUUACUCUUCCCCAAACACCAUAACUUCAAAAGGUUGCCAAGGUGUGUUGAUCAUAAACUUCACGAAGGCAACCAUUCAUGCCUGCAAAAGAGAUACACUAACCUCCUUUGAGGAUGAGGAUUGGCAGAGCAUAACAUCAAAUCUAGAACCUGGUAACAAAGUGGGGGUUAUGGUAGUUUUUGGGGAGGGAUUCAUUGUAAAGUUCACAUCAAUAUCUCUCUUAUAUGAUGAACCGAUCAACAAAGAAAUAGAACACUGUAAUGCAGAAUAUGGGGAGGAUGAUAUUGUUUCUAGUGAUGGCAACAAGGAUGUUAGUGAUUAUAUUAAUGUGCGAGCGGAUAACAAUGUUACUAGUCCUGGUGAAGAUGACAAUAUUAGUGAAGAUAAGCACUCACAAGCAGUGGAUAAGAAUUCAAUUGUUUCUCAUGAUGAUGGCAUGGAAGCAAAUAAGAAUUGUGCUGUCUCUGGUGGCGGUGAUAUACCACCAGAUAACAUUGUUUCCGUUUCUAGUGAAAAUGAAAACGUGAGUGAUAGUAACAACAGGGAUUUGGUAGAUAAGGAUGCUAAUGUUUCUGGUAAAGCGUAUAAGAAUUUUGUUGUUUCUAGUGGAGAUAAAAAUAGAAUUCGUAGACUGUUCGUCAAGCUUCCUUCCCUCGUUCGUGCUGUUUUGAUCUCACGCCCUUUCUGGUUCAGUCUGGUUUCCAUUCUGAUUUGGAUUGCUUGCUGUGGUUCUAAGCGAUAUAGUCGAAAACUCCUUACAAGAUCUACACGAAGGGGUAAAUGGCUAGUGGAUUGUGCUCACAAGCUUUUUACAUACAAGAAGGCCAACAAAGCUCACAGCCUCAGCCAUUCAGAGUUAAGCUUGAACACUAGGAGGAGCCCCCUAUGCCUGCAGAGAAGGUUUGCUACAUGCAAAGCCAUUAUAUAUCAAAGGUGAGUCAUUUUUGGGGGUCCUGAGGAUAUGUCUGUCCUAAGGUUGUUUCAGGACCAUGUUGCAGCUCAACUGUGGAUUAGAGAUGAUCUUGGUUGUCUAAAGGUUGUGAUCCAAAGAUGAGAAAUUAAAGAGUGCAUACUAAAGAUGGUUGGCAAGGGUCUGCUGUCCGAUAUCGCUGAUAGGUAGCAUAAAGAAACCAACCGUAUCCACCUACUCUGUGUGGACAUGAAGAUCACAUUGGACGAUGUGUCAUGUGACAUCAGUGCCUUAAUCUAUCGUGAUAUCCAGAGACAUUGCACGGGCUUAUUUACUUAAUCUCAAGGGUCUACACUCGCACAGGAAACUAUGGAGAUCGGUGCCACAAGAGGUGCACAUAUGUUUGCUUUAGUAGACUAUGCAACAAGAGCAUUUCUGCUACACGUGACAAGAGUGUGUAACAUUUUGGAGUUUACUAUUGAACUACCAAUAUUGAUGGGCAAAUUCUUACAUGAUGUGAAGGUAAUUGAUGAAAAUGGAGAAAUAUACACCUUAUAUCUAAAGUUUCAUGGGUAGAACAAAACUCUUACCAAAAAUAAUAAUUAACUACAGACAAAUGAUGAGAAUGUUUGGACAUACUCUACAAGUGUAAGAAGUGAAAGGAAAUUGAAGAUGAAUUUUGAUGUUUUUAGUUUUUUAUUUAUACUGAUAAGCUAUUAAGAGAUUUGGGGAAUUGAGAUAGUUUUGUACUAUGAGUUAUUGAAAUGAAUGGACUUUUCAGGUA